UAGCUUGCUCCGGUGACGAGUGGCGAAUGGGUGAGUAAUAUAUCGGAACCUACCUUUGAGUGGGGGAUAACUAGUCGAAAGAUUACCUAAUACCCCAUACAAUCUACCUUUGAAAGUGGGGGAUCGCAAGACCUCAUGCUCAUACAGCGGCCGAUCUGGGAUUAGCUCCUUGGUGAGGUUAGGGCUCCCCCUGGCUUCAAUCAUGAACUGGUCUGAAAGGACUACCAAUCACGCUGGGACUGACACACCGUCCUCACUCCUUCCGUAGGGAUCGUUGGGGAAUUUUGGACAAUGGGGGCAACCCUGAUCCACUAAUGCCGCGGGAGUGAAUAAUGGCUUCAGUUUGUAAAGCUCUUUUGUCCGGGAAGAAACGGGGGAUCCUAAUACGGUGCCCUAAUGACGGUACCUGAACAAUCCCCACCGGCUAACUACUUGCCAACAUGCCCGGGGAUACUUAGGGUGUUCGCGUUAAUCCGAAUUACUGGGCGUAAACCGUGCCCAGGGCGGUAUGUAAGACAUGUGUGAAAUCCCCAGGCUUAACCUGGUAAUGGCAUUUGUGACUGCUUCACUCGAGUGUGUGCGAGGGGGGUAGAUUUCCACGUGUAGCCUGAAAUGCAUCGAGAUGUGCGAGGAAUACCGAUGGUAUCUAA
rnacentral:rRNA from 1 species